CCUUUUCGCCUCUCCUCGUUCUCUCCCUCGCCUUUCCUUUCCUUUCUCUUCCUCUCUUCCUCGCUCCUCGGUCUCGGCGCUCUCCCAGCUUUUCUUCUCCUGGCUCCUGGUUCCCCGCUACGCCACCAGUCCACUCACCUCUCUCCUUGCCCUACUCCCUCCGCUACUCCCUGACGCCCCCUGCAGCCCCCAGCCCCCCUGCAGGCCCCAGCCCCAGUAAGUUUGGAGAGGGGAACAAAUGCUGAGCCUAGGUAGGGACCACCUUGGGGAGGAAGCCAAAAUCACACUGCUCACCCGAGAGCCCCUGCCCCGCGCUGGCACGCCCCCGCCUGGAGUGCACUCGUGGCCCCGGGCGCUGUCAGGUACCCGAAUUGGGGUAAGCGAGUUGGUAACUGGACCUCCAAAGCCUUCCCCUGGGGUUGACUUUGGAAUUGUUCCUACAGCCCGGGGACUGGUGGUUGGGGUGGGAAGAGGACCACCACCACCAAGGGUGACUUUGAGGGAGACUAGAGCGCGGCCCCCCGACAGCUGUGGGGGAGCGGGGGUGUGGUGGCCACAGUUGAUCCGCGGCACCUAGCACAGUCCAGAGACGCGUGGAUUCCCCUAGGCCCGGCGCGGAGCGCCCGGGGCGCUGUGCGCGCGGGCUGCGUGGGAGCUGCUAGGCUGGGGCCUGGCCCUCUGCCCCGGACUGGGCACUGCCAGAGAUAGCGGAGAGCUAAGGUACUCACGAGGCGCAGUUGGGUGCACCCACUCGCGGGAGUUCCCCUAGCCGACCCACCCCCCCCCCCCGAGAGCAUCCAACUACGCGCCCACUUUGGCUCACGUCCACUGCCACUCUCACGGAAACUCCUACAAGAACGGCACACACGUUCGCUCCCUCAGCAUUGCAAACACGCUCCCCCCCAAACCACAAACGCGCCCCCACACACUCGCUUACUUUCCCUCACAAAGAUGCCCGCUUACACGGCCACAGCAGGCACGCUCAGAGACACGCAGUUACACACACACAUCGCUGUACACAACCCCACAUACAAUCAAAAAACAAAACACGAAACGUUCCCCUGGGCACUAAAUCCUCACGUUAACGUACACACACAAACACACGCCCUCCUCUCCCACUUCCUCUUCCAUACCCCUUCCUCGAGGCCCCCCACCCCUGAUUUUCGGCACCCCCAGUCCCAAUCAUAAUUGGCGCCCGCGCAGCCCUCUUUGGACACACACGCGCCGCCCACGCACGCGCUCCCCUCCCCGGCAGGCGGGGGCGGCUUCGGCCGGGAGCCGGCGGAGCCCGCUUCGGAUUCCAGGUGUGGCAGUGACUCCGCGCUCCACGUUUUGCAGGCUGCCACCGUGUCGGAGGCGAGGCGAGGAAGGGAGCUGGAAUAACAAAGGUGGCAGCUGAGCAUCCCUGGAGAGGGUGGGUGGUAUGAAAGCACUUCCAGACCUCUAGGGACACCAGGGAGUCAUGGUCCCAGCACAUUGCUGUGUGAUUGAGCCCCUCCUCAGCCUGUGGGUGGCCUAAGUUCACAGGGAGGUAAUGGGGUAGAUUGGAUACCUCUGGGGUCUUGGAAGAAGCUAUGACUUAUUUACUGUCUACUAUGUGCUGAAGCCACUUGCUCAGAGCCGCACAGCAAGCCCACCACCCUGAACCUCCAGAUUACCAACUCAGCAUUGUGUCCUGACAGUGUCAUCAUAGAUGGUCAACACCGUCACCUGGGCAGCACUGAAGCCCAGAGCGGGAGAGACUGGCUCAAGACCAUGGGCACUAUACCUCUCUGGGCCUUGUUU
rnacentral:lncRNA from 1 species